GGGGUUUUGGCUCAGUGGUAGAGCACUUGCCUGGCCUGUAUGAGGCACUGGGUUCGAUUCUCAGCACCA
rnacentral:tRNA from 1 species